rnacentral:lncRNA from 1 species
AGCCACUUUCCAACCUGUUGAGCUGCCUGCAGGCUCUGUGUGGUGUGCUCCAGGUCCUCAGCUUUGUGAGCUGUCACCCACACUGGGGUGGCCUUUGGUGAUACAGCUGUCUUUGAGUCAUUUCUGCUCCUGUUAACCAGAUAUAGGACUCCUCUGUCUUGCUACGAUGGACAGCCACAAGGAUUCACUUGAAUAAAAGAAGCAACAGUGGGUGCCAGGCUGUUUGUGCUGUGGAUUGAAUGGCGGGCCUUGCACAGAAAUGUGCUGUUUUGUUAUACAUUUAUUACAAAGAAUCUCACAAAAAGAAAAUAUUUCAAAAAGAAUGCCAGGCUAAAGAACCUCCACCUGGAGAACUGGGGGAAGGCAGGGCAAUAAUAUCAACGUCAACAUACAGCACCCUCUGGCCAUACUUUAGCAGUUCCAGGAUGGCCAAGACGACAUCGUUGAUGUAACAGAAACCUGAGGCGUCAGACUUCUUUACAUGAUGCAGUCCCCCAGCCUGGCUCGCAGUGAUGUCCCUCUGAUGUGUAUCAAGUUUCACAGCACUUUCCAAAGAGCCACCAAUAGACAACUGACAACUCAGACAGGCCAUCGAUUACCGGGAAGUCCUCACCAACGCGGAAUCUCUGCAUCUGCUUGCUGUAUUUAGACACAUUAUCUGGGCGAAUAGAGCACAAGAGUUUAAUGUAGUCAUCACUGUGGGACUUGGUCAUCUCCUCAGCGUUGGCUCUGUGAGGACGAUAGAUUUCCAUUUUUUGGUAGAGAUGUAGUUGAGCUGCAAAUCACGAGUCAUGUGGAUUCGGUGAGGCUUCAUUGGGUGGCCCUGUCCAUAAGAUAGUUUCCAACAUCCCUGUUAACAGACGUUCCUCUUGCCCUGAGUCUGUGCCAUCUUUCUCACCACCCAGUGCUCCUGCCAGUCUGAUGUUUUAAUAUUUUUAGAUGGUGAUGCUUUGAGUUUAAAUGGCCUUUGACAAAUUCUAUCCUAAUUUCUAAUUAAGACAAGGAAAGAAAACAAAGAUGGAUAAGGACCAUAAAGUAAUGAAUGGACUGGAAACAGAAGUAAACUUAUUCAAC